CAAAAACAUCGCCUCCUGACAUCCCAAUAUAGGAGGUCCAGCCUGCCCAGUGACAAUAGUUUAACGGCCGCGGUAUUUUGACCGUGCAAAGGUAGCGCAAUCACUCGUCCUUUAAAUAGGGACCUGUAUGAAUGGCCAAACGAGGGCUUAACUGUCUCCCCCAUCAAGUCAGUGAAAUUGAUCUAUCCGUGCAGAAGCGGAUAUAAUAAUACAAGACGAGAAGACCCUUUGGAGCUUAAGGUACAAGAUUUAAUUUACAUCAAGCAAACCAAUAAAAGUGAUUAAGCUAGUAAAAGAUAAACCUCUACCUUCGGUUGGGGCGACCACGGAGUAAAAAACAACCUCCAAGCGGAACGGGCACAGCCCUAAAACCAAGAGAAACAUCUCUAAGCCUCAGAACACCUGACCAAAGACGAUCCGGCCUAUAAGCCGAUCAACGAACCAAGUUACCCUAGGGAUAACAGCGCAAUCCUCUCUAAGAGUCCAUAUCGACGAGGGGGUUUACGACCUCGAUGUUGGAUCAGGACAUCCUAAUGGUGCAGCCGCUAUUAAGGGUUCGUUUGUUCAACGAUUAAUAGUCCUACGUGAUCUGAGUUCARA
rnacentral:rRNA from 1 species